rnacentral:rRNA from 1 species
UACGGAGGGUGCGAGCGUUAUUCGGAAUUACUGGGCGUAAAGGGCGCGUAGGCGGCCGAGCUUGUCCGAUGUGAAAGCCCGGGGCUUAACCUCGGAAGUGCAUUGGAAACGGUUCGGCUUGAGUGUCGGAGAGGGUGGGGGAAUUCCCGGUGUAGAGGUGAAAUUCGUAGAGAUCGGGAGGAAUACCAGUGGCGAAGGCGCCCACCUGGACGAUGACUGACGCUGAGGCGCGAAAGCGUGGGGAGCAAACAGGAUUAGAUACCCUGGUAGU